rnacentral:rRNA from 1 species
AGAGUUUGAUCCUGGCUCAGGAUGAACGCUGGCGGCGUGCCUAAUACAUGCAAGUCGAGCGAACGGACGAGAAGCUUGCUUCUCUGAUGUUAGCGGCGGACGGGUGAGUAACACGUGGAUAACCUACCUAUAAGACUGGGAUAACUUCGGGAAACCGGAGCUAAUACCGGAUAAUAUUUUGAACCGCAUGGUUCAAAAGUGAAAGACGGUCUUGCUGUCACUUAUAGAUGGAUCCGCGCUGCAUUAGCUAGUUGGUAAGGUAACGGCUUACCAAGGCAACGAUGCAUAGCCGACCUGAGAGGGUGAUCGGCCACACUGGAACUGAGACACGGUCCAGACUCCUACGGGAGGCAGCAGUAGGGAAUCUUCCGCAAUGGGCGAAAGCCUGACGGAGCAACGCCGCGUGAGUGAUGAAGGUCUUCGGAUCGUAAAACUCUGUUAUUAGGGAAGAACAUAUGUGUAAGUAACUGUGCACAUCUUGACGGUACCUAAUCAGAAAGCCACGGCUAACUACGUGCCAGCAGCCGCGGUAAUACGUAGGUGGCAAGCGUUAUCCGGAAUUAUUGGGCGUAAAGCGCGCGUAGGCGGUUUUUUAAGUCUGAUGUGAAAGCCCACGGCUCAACCGUGGAGGGUCAUUGGAAACUGGAAAACUUGAGUGCAGAAGAGGAAAGUGGAAUUCCAUGUGUAGCGGUGAAAUGCGCAGAGAUAUGGAGGAACACCAGUGGCGAAGGCGACUUUCUGGUCUGUAACUGACGCUGAUGUGCGAAAGCGUGGGGAUCAAACAGGAUUAGAUACCCUGGUAGUCCACGCCGUAAACGAUGAGUGCUAAGUGUUAGGGGGUUUCCGCCCCUUAGUGCUGCAGCUAACGCAUUAAGCACUCCGCCUGGGGAGUACGACCGCAAGGUUGAAACUCAAAGGAAUUGACGGGGACCCGCACAAGCGGUGGAGCAUGUGGUUUAAUUCGAAGCAACGCGAAGAACCUUACCAAAUCUUGACAUCCUUUGACAACUCUAGAGAUAGAGCCUUCCCCUUCGGGGGACAAAGUGACAGGUGGUGCAUGGUUGUCGUCAGCUCGUGUCGUGAGAUGUUGGGUUAAGUCCCGCAACGAGCGCAACCCUUAAGCUUAGUUGCCAUCAUUAAGUUGGGCACUCUAAGUUGACUGCCGGUGACAAACCGGAGGAAGGUGGGGAUGACGUCAAAUCAUCAUGCCCCUUAUGAUUUGGGCUACACACGUGCUACAAUGCGAGGUCAAGCAAAUCCCAUAAAGUUGUUCUCAGUUCGGAUUGUAGUCUGCAACUCGACUACAUGAAGCUGGAAUCGCUAGUAAUCGUAGAUCAGCAUGCUACGGUGAAUACGUUCCCGGGUCUUGUACACACCGCCCGUCACACCACGAGAGUUUGUAACACCCGAAGCCGGUGGAGUAACCUUUUAGGAGCUAGCCGUCGAAGGUGGGACAAAUGAUUGGGGUGAAGUCGUAACAAGGUAGCCGUAUCGGAAGGUGCGGCUGGAUCACCU